rnacentral:lncRNA from 1 species
AUUAUCUGCUUAGUCACAUUUUGGGAUUAAAACUCGGGUCAUGAAAUCUUAUGGAUAUUGAAGCUUUGGAAUCUCCUUCGUUGGUUUCUGUCUACCAUUUUGGAUGUGACGUCGUUUAACCUCGCCAUGUUGUAUAAAUUACUCUCACCUGGUUGUUGAAUUUUGAGACCGUAUGUUAUAUGUCAUCCAUGUAUUUGAUGUCCCGUAUGUUUGUUUGUUCAAUUGUAAUAAUCUUCAAUCCCAGAAAAGAAAUUAUGUGG